UACGGGAGGCAGCAGUGGGGAAUAUUGCACAAUGGGCGCAAGCCUGAUGCAGCCAUGCCGCGUGUAUGAAGAAGGCCUUCGGGUUGUAAAGUACUUUCAGUCGUGAGGAAGGUGUUAAGGUUAAUAACCUUAGCAAUUGACGUUAGCGACAGAAGAAGCACCGGCUAACUCCGUGCCAGCAGCCGCGGUAAUACGGAGGGUGCGAGCGUUAAUCGGAAUUACUGGGCGUAAAGGGCACGCAGGCGGUUAAUUAAGUUGGAUGUGAAAUCCCCGGGCUUAACCUGGGAAUGGCAUUCAAGACUGGUUAGCUAGAGUCUUGUAGAGGGGGUAGAAUUCCAUGUGUAGCGGUGAAAUGCGUAGAGAUGUGGAGGAAUACCGGUGGCGAAGGCGGCCCCUGGGCAAAGGCUGACGCUCGAUGUGCGAAAGCGUGGGGAGCGAAACAGGGAUUAGAU
rnacentral:rRNA from 1 species